GAUGAACGCUGGCGGCGUGCCUAAUACAUGCAAGUCGAGCGAACAGACGAGGAGCUUGCUCCUCUGACGUUAGCGGCGGACGGGUGAGUAACACGUGGAUAACCUACCUAUAAGACUGGGAUCACUUCGGGAAACCGGAGCUAAUACCGGAUAAUAUAUUUAACCGCAUGGUUCAAUAGUGAAAUACGGUUUUGCUGUCACUUAUAGAUGGAUCCGCGCGGCAUUAGCUAGUUGGUAAGGUAACGGCUUACCAAGGCGAGGAUUCGUAGCCGACCUGAGAGGGUGGUCGGCCACACUGGAACUGAGACACGGUCCAGACUCCUACGGGAGGCAGCAGUAGGGAAUCUUCCGCAAUGGGCGAAAGCCUGACGGAGCAACGCCGCGUGAGUGAUGAAGGUCUUCGGAUCGUAAAACUCUGUUAUUAGGGAAGAACAAAUGUGUAAGUAACUAUGCACGUCUUGACGGUACCUAAUCAGAAAGCCACGGCUAACUACGUG
rnacentral:rRNA from 1 species